rnacentral:rRNA from 1 species
AAAGCGUGCGCAGGCGGUUAUGUAAGACAGAUGUGAAAUCCCCGGGCUCAACCUGGGAACUGCAUUAGUGACUGCAUAGCUGGAGUACGGCAGAGGGGGAUGGAAUUCCGCGUGUAGCAGUGAAAUGCGUAGAUAUGCGGAGGAACACCGAUGGCGAAGGCAAUCCCCUGGGCCUGUACUGACGCUCAUGCACGAAAGCGUGGGGAGCAAACAGGAUUAGAUACCUCAGU